CCUACGGGAGGCAGCAGUGAGGAAUCUUGCGCAAUGGAGGAAACUCUGACGCAGCCACGCCGCGUGAAGGAAGACACCCCUAUGGGGCGUAAACUUCUUUUAUAUGGGAAGAACCCCCUGCUCGGCAGGGUCUGACGGUACCAUAUGAAUAAGCACCGGCUAACUCCGUGCCAGCAGCCGCGGUAAUACGGAGGGUGCAAGCGUUGUCCGGAAUCACUGGGUGUAAAGGGUGUGUAGGCGGGGCAGUAAGUCAGAGGUGAAAGCCCACGGCUCAACCGUGGAAUUGCCUUUGAUACUGCUGUUCUUGAGUCCUGGAGAGGUCGCCGGAAUUCGUGGUGUAGCGGUGAAAUGCGUAGAUAUCACGAGGAACACCGGAGGUGUAGACGGGUGACUGGACAGGUACUGACGCUGAGGCACGAAAGCGUGGGGAGCAAACAGGAUUAGAUACCCUGGUAGUCCACGCCGUAAACGAUGGAUGCUCGGUGUUGCCNUGUUUCAUCGCCAGUGGCGCAGCUAACGCGUUAAGCAUCCCACCUG
rnacentral:rRNA from 1 species